rnacentral:rRNA from 2 species
UGCAAGUCGGACGGUAGCACAGGGGAGCUUGCUCCCCGGGUGACGAGUGGCGGACGGGUGAGUAAUGUCUGGGAAACUGCCCGGUGGAGGGGGAUAACUACUGGAAACGGUAGCUAAUACCGCAUAACGUCUUCGGACCAAAGUGGGGGAUCUUCGGACCUCACGCCACCGGAUGUGCCCAGAUGGGAUUAGCUAGUAGGUGGGGUAACGGCUCACCUAGGCGACGAUCCCUAGCUGGUCUGAGAGGAUGACCAGCCACACUGGAACUGAGACACGGUCCAGACUCCUACGGGAGGCAGCAGUGGGGAAUAUUGCACAAUGGGCGCAAGCCUGAUGCAGCCAUGCCGCGUGUAUGAAGAAGGCCUUCGGGUUGUAAAGUACUUUCAGCGGGGAGGAAGGCGGUGAGGUUAAUAACCUCGCCGAUUGACGUUACCCGCAGAAGAAGCACCGGCUAACUCCGUGCCAGCAGCCGCGGUAAUACGGAGGGUGCAAGCGUUAAUCGGAAUUACUGGGCGUAAAGCGCACGCAGGCGGUCUGUUAAGUCAGAUGUGAAAUCCCCGGGCUUAACCUGGGAACUGCAUUUGAAACUGGCAGGCUUGAGUCUCGUAGAGGGGGGUAGAAUUCCAGGUGUAGCGGUGAAAUGCGUAGAGAUCUGGAGGAAUACCGGUGGCGAAGGCGGCCCCCUGGACGAAGACUGACGCUCAGUGCG